rnacentral:rRNA from 1 species
CGGAGGGGGCAAGCGUUGUCCGGAUUUAUUGGGUUUAAAGGGUGCGUAGGCGGCUUUGUAAGUCAGUGGUGAAAUACUCCAGCUCAACUGGAGAGGUGCCAUUGAUACUGCAGAGCUAGAGUACUGAUGAGGUAGGCGGAAUGGACGGUGUAGCGGUGAAAUGCUUAGAUAUCGUCCAGAACACCGAUAGCGAAGGCAGCUUACUAAAGAGUAACUGACGCUGAGGCACGAAAGUGUGGGGAUCAAACAGGAUUAGAUACCCUGGUAGUCCACACUGUAAACGUUGAUCACUAGAUGUUGGCGAUACACUGCCAGCGUUCCAGCAAAGCGAUAAGUGAUCCACCUGGGGAGUACGCCCGCAAGGGUG